GGAGUCUGGGCCGUGUCUCAGUCCCAAUGUGGCCGUUCAACCUCUCAGUCCGGCUACUGAUCGUCGACUUGGUGAGCCGUUACCUCACCAACUAUCUAAUCAGACGCGAGCUCAUCUUUAAGCGAUAAAUCUUUGAUAGACUUAUCAUGCGAUAUGUCUAUGUUAUGCGGUAUUACCAUCCGUUUCCAAAUGUUAUUCCCCACUUAAAGGCAGAUUGCUCACGUGUUACUCACCCGUCCGCCACUGAUCCGAUACCGAAGUAUCUUCACCGUUCGACUUGCAUGUGUUAAGCGUGCCGCCAGCGUUCGUCCUCGAGCUAGGAGUCAAACUCU
rnacentral:rRNA from 1 species